UAGAUGCAUAAUAUGUAUAUUGAUUACAGAAAAUUAUAUGCUGACAUCUGUUGCCGAAGAGAAAAAUACACCGCUAUUUUAUUGUGUGGAUACUAACAGAGAACUGGCAUUUUUUUCUAAUGCAUUUUUGAAAUUAUAGUCUAUACUCGCUUUAGGGCACUUUUGUUAGUAUGAUACUUUAAAACGAUAACAACGUUUAGAGAAAUACAAAUAUAAACAAAAAUUCGAGCCGUUCGUAGCUAUCGUAAUGUUUCUUAUGGUACACCCAAUGGAGGAAUUCUGAGGACAGUUGUAAUCGCAGUUCCAAAGCAAAUUUAUCGAACUAUAUACGUACGGGAUUUCGUCUCAUUUUUUUGGAUUGUUAACUAAGGAAGUGAACAAAACAGUACAACGUUGUUAUUCCAGAAUUGUUCUCUCUGAAUCAUACCAAUUCACAUUGACGAGUUCAGACCUGCUUUGAGAUGACAUCCUUGGAUUUGAUGGGCAAAUCGGUAUGGUACCAAAAUGAUUGUCCCACAAAUGAUGAGGGAUUGCAGUUAAUUUUGAUGCUACUGAAGCAACCGAUGCUUUUGAUGUCUUCACUUUGCAACAUUAUGCAGUUAACUUUUGCUGUAACAACAGGAGGCAGUUGGAAAUUAAUUUGGAAGAGACUGGAACAACAGAUUGUUUGCAGUGAUUCCUCCUAGAUUUGGUUUGCUCAUCAUACUGGUAGACUAGAACGCCACUUUCUACAGUUAAGGUGAGAAUACAUAACUUCAUUAAUAUUAAUUGCUCUUUAUUAAUCUGUUAUGAAAUUUCUGUUAACAAGUAUCUAUUGUAAACAGUUUAAAUUGAGGUUAUUGUGUGCAUCUAUAUCUCGUUAACAGUUUUUAUUUCCCACAGAAUAAAUUGACAUUUAUCAUUGAUCUAUCUGUGGAGUUUAUCUAUCUAUGAAGUUUAACUAUCUAUGGAUUUUCUAAUUAACCUUUUUCUAUUGUCUGCAUCGUAAAUUGACGUGUUAUUUGACAUUUAUCUAUGUCGUGAUCUAUGGCUGUGAUGUAAAAUGUCAUUGAAAUAACGCUUGUUAUUUUAUAAUUCAACUAAUUUUACUUGCUUUUUAAUGUGGAACAGAUCUUUCCAUUAAUUGUUGUCCCAUAAAUAAGAAAGAAUUGCAGUUAAUUUUGGUGCUACUAGAACAACCGAUACUUUUGACGUCUUCACCUUGCAACAUUAUGCAGUUAAUUUUUGCACUAACAAUGGGAGACAAUUGGAAAUUAAUUUGGAUGC